rnacentral:ncRNA from 2 species
GCAAUUUAGUGUGUGUGAUAUU